rnacentral:rRNA from 1 species
AGCAGUAGCCACGGGAAUACGGAGGGUGCAAGCGUUAAUCGGAAUUACUGGGCGUAAAGCGCACGCAGGCGGUCUGUCAAGUCAGAUGUGAAAUCCCCGGGCUUAACCUGGGAACUGCAUUUGAAACUGGCAGGCUAGAGUCUUGUAGAGGGGGGUAGAAUUCCAGGUGUAGCGGUGAAAUGCGUAGAGAUCUGGAGGAAUACCGGUGGCGAAGGCGGCCCCCUGGACAAAGACUGACGCUCAGGUGCGAAAGCGUGGGGAGCAAACAGGAUUAGAUACCCCAGUAGUCCCUGUCUCUUAUAC